CCUCUGAGGCAGGAAACAGACCAGCACCUCGGCAGAAGAAGUGGCAUGAUCUAUAUCUGAAGGUAAACCUGGACAGAGUGAUAUGUGUAUCAUAUUAAAUGUAAAGCUAUGACAUAUUUAAAGGGAACACCUUCUUAUUCGCUGUCAAACAUAGAGAUUGAAAAAUGCCCAAUGCAGAUGAGGGGACAGAUGUCACUGUUUGGAGGUGCACAGACCUGUAAAUGUGGUUUUCAUGUAAAGAACGUAUCUGAAGUCUCUUAUGACGUGCUGGUGUUGAAUACUGUUGUAUUACAAAUUGUUUUUAUCUUGUCUGUGAACCUGUAGCCUUCCAGUUCGCUCCUUGUCUCAGUGCAUCCAGGAACCUCAUGUACAGUGGAACAGCAGCCAGGGCCUUCACCUGGUGAGACGCUACAGCCAGGACUCUACCUGCAGGUUCACCACCACCACCACCACCAAAGGAUGUCUCCUUAGCUAGUGGUGAACCUUGGCAUCAACCUCUGAUGUAUCCAGCCCCAUCACAAGCCCCACAAAAAGAAAAGUGUCACCACCUGGACGCACACUGUUUCUCCUGUGUCUCUUCCUCCUUCUCCUGUUCCUGUAUCAAGCCUCUUCCAUUCUGCCUCCACUGCUACAGCUGAACCCCCUCUGCUCCUCUCACCUUGCCAUUGCCUAAAAAUGUGGGGAUCGUACCUGUUUCAGAUGCUGCCUGGCUGCCCACAAAGCUGCUAAAGACAUUUCAGCAGCCCUGUGGAAAGACCAGCGUCUUUUCAAAGACCUGAAACUGUGGUAUGAUCCACCAGAGUCUUCCCUCAUAUACCAUCAGGUCCUCACUCCUGAGCGCUUCUUCCACCACGACUUUUCUCAUGGAAAAAACAUGGUGUGACAUUCUUUGUCAAUAUGUAUAUAAUGUAAAUAGUUUUAAAAGAAAAAAGUCUUAAUUUGCUGCUGUUCUAUUUUGUUUUUUAACUUUAACACACGUGUUUGUGAGUGUGUGUGUGAAAUUUGUAAUAAAUUUGUUACAUUUCAGUGACUGUCUUCAUUUUUUACUGCAAAAAUGCAAACUCACUCAUAGAAAACGAUAACAUUGUUGCAGUACUUCAUUCAGAAAUAUUAAAAUGACUAUAAAAGUACAUUUAGGUACAUGUGAUAACACUUGGUAGUAGUCUGUGUUAAAGGCCUCAUGUUCCAACGGUGGAAUCGAACCAGCGACCUUUGGGUCAAGAGCCUCCUAUGCUUUUCUGCAGUUAAGUGUCAUAUUUGGUUAAAUUUCUCUAAUUAAUAGACCAGAAUAUGUGUGAUUUUACUUGUGAUGGACAGCAGAGACACUAAUAACUACAGGGUUCUUCCAUCUUUUCAAAAUUUCCUCUCUUUUCCUUCUUUUUCCUUCUUUUUCCUUCUUCCCCCUUCUUCCCCCUCUUCCUUCU